UACAGAGGUCUCAAGCGUUGUUCGGAUUCAUUGGGCGUAAAGGGCGCGUAGGCGGCCAACUAAGUCGGAUGUGAAAUCCCCAGGCUCAACUUGGGAACUGCAUCCGAUACUGGUCGGCUUGAAUCCGGGAGAGGGAUGCAGAAUUCCAGGUGUAGCGGUGAAAUGCGUAGAUAUCUGGAGGAAUACCGGUGGCGAAGGCGGCAUCCUGGACCGGCAUUGACGCUGAUGUGCGAAAGCUAGGGGAGCAAACGGG
rnacentral:rRNA from 1 species